UACGAAGGGGGCUAGCGUUGUUCGGAUUUACUGGGCGUAAAGCGCACGUAGGCGGAUUGUUAAGUUAGGGGUGAAAUCCUGGAGCUCAACUCCAGAACUGCCUUUGAUACUGGCAAUCUCGAGUCCGGAAGAGGUAAGUGGAACUCCUAGUGUAGAGGUGGAAUUCGUAGAUAUUAGGAAGAACACCAGUGGCGAAGGCGGCUUACUGGUCCGGUACUGACGCUGAGGUGCGAAAGCGUGGGGAGCAAACAGG
rnacentral:rRNA from 1 species